UUUGGUGCCAAUAGCACAGUGGAACCACACCGACCCAUCUCGAACUCGGUUGUUAAACGCUGUAGCGGCAAGAAUACUUAAGGGGCAGCUCUUUGGGAAAGUAGCUCAGUGCCAAAG
rnacentral:rRNA from 10 species